GAGGGAAAGGGGGAGGAAGGGAGGAUGCCGCGUACACGAGGGACGAGAGCGGACCUUGCGUGGCGCGAGCGCGCGCGCACGGAAAGGUGGGUUUCUUUGUGGAUCGCGAGAACCGGUUCCAUUCGAAGCACGAGAAGGCUUAUGAAGCGAACCAAAUGUGAAUCGUCGCCGUGUUGCUCUUCUAAGCGAAUGCCAUUUUCGCCGAUCUGAGAAAAGCGAUAUAAUAAAUAUAUUAUAUAUAUAUUUAUACAUUAUAUCAAUCGAAAUUGGGGAAAUUAACGAUUAGAAAAUAUUUUCAUAAAUACUGCUAAAGGACAGUCGAUGCACGACGAGAAGGUGAAGUUUCACAAGAAGAGGAAGAAGAAAAAGUAAAAAAAAGAUACUGAAGCCGAGAAUUCGUGAAAGAAAAUGAACAGCAAAUAUGCACUCGAGACGAACUCGCAAGCAAAAAUGGAUGAAAUUAAAGAAGAACGCUGUAAAUGUCCUUUCUAUUCAUAGUAAACUCAGGUAAAGGCGCACAUUUGGCGUUUCUUUUCUUUCUUUUUCAAAAAUUUGUUUUUCUUGGAAACCUCGGUUUGUGAGCAGGUAAGAAACGAAAGUUUUCAGAAAAGGGAUGAGGGAUGGGAGAGGGAGAAAGAAAGAAAGAAAGAAA